AGAUUAAGUUAUUAAGGGCGCACGGUGGAUGCCUUGGCACUAGAAGCCGAUGAAGGACGUUACUAACGACGAUAUGCUUUGGGGAGCUGUAAGUAAGCUUUGAUCCAGAGAUUUCCGAAUGGGGAAACCCAGCAUGAGUUAUGUCAUGUUAUCGAUAUGUGAAUACAUAGCAUAUCAGAAGGCACACCCGGAGAACUGAAACAUCUUAGUACCCGGAGGAAGAGAAAGAAAAUUCGAUUCCCUUAGUAGCGGCGAGCGAAACGGGAAGAGCCCAAACCAACAAGCUUGCUUGUUGGGGUUGUAGGACACUCUAUACGGAGUUACAAAGGACGACAUUAGACGAAUCAUCUGGAAAGAUGAAUCAAAGAAGGUAAUAAUCCUGUAGUCGAAAAUGUUGUCUCUCUUGAGUGGAUCCUGAGUACGACGGAGCACGUGAAAUUCCGUCGGAAUCUGGGAGGACCAUCUCCUAAGGCUAAAUACUCUCUAGUGACCGAUAGUGAACCAGUACCGUGAGGGAAAGGUGAAAAGCACCCCGGAAGGGGAGUGAAAUAGAACCUGAAACCGUGUGCUUACAAGUAGUCAGAGCCCGUUAAUGGGUGAUGGCGUGCCUUUUGUAGAAUGAACCGGCGAGUUACGAUUUGAUGCAAGGUUAAGCAGUAAAUGUGGAGCCGUAGCGAAAGCGAGUCUGAAUAGGGCGUUUAGUAUUUGGUCGUAGACCCGAAACCAGGUGAUCUACCCUUGGUCAGGUUGAAGUUCAGGUAACACUGAAUGGAGGACCGAACCGACUUACGUUGAAAAGUGAGCGGAUGAACUGAGGGUAGCGGAGAAAUUCCAAUCGAACCUGGAGAUAGCUGGUUCUCUCCGAAAUAGCUUUAGGGCUAGCCUCAAGUGAUGAUUAUUGGAGGUAGAGCACUGUUUGGACGAGGGGCCCCUCUCGGGUUACCGAAUUCAGACAAACUCCGAAUGCCAAUUAAUUUAACUUGGGAGUCAGAACAUGGGUGAUAAGGUCCGUGUUCGAAAGGGAAACAGCCCAGACCACCAGCUAAGGUCCCAAAAUAUAUGUUAAGUGGAAAAGGAUGUGGCGUUGCCCAGACAACUAGGAUGUUGGCUUAGAAGCAGCCAUCAUUUAAAGAGUGCGUAAUAGCUCACUAGUCGAGUGACACUGCGCCGAAAAUGUACCGGGGCUAAACAUAUUACCGAAGCUGUGGAUUGUCCUUUGGACAAUGGUAGGAGAGCGUUCUAAGGGCGUUGAAGCAUGAUCGUAAGGACAUGUGGAGCGCUUAGAAGUGAGAAUGCCGGUGUGAGUAGCGAAAGACGGGUGAGAAUCCCGUCCACCGAUUGACUAAGGUUUCCAGAGGAAGGCUCGUCCGCUCUGGGUUAGUCGGGUCCUAAGCUGAGGCCGACAGGCGUAGGCGAUGGAUAACAGGUUGAUAUUCCUGUACCACCUAUAAUCGUUUUAAUCGAUGGGGGGACGCAGUAGGAUAGGCGAAGCGUGCGAUUGGAUUGCACGUCUA
rnacentral:rRNA from 1 species